rnacentral:rRNA from 1 species
UACGGGGGGAGCAAGCGUUGUUCGGAUUUACUGGGCGUAAAGGGCGCGUAGGCGGCGCAACAAGUCACUUGUGAAAUCUCCGGGCUUAACCCGGAGCGGCCAAGUGAUACUGUCGUGCUAGAGUGCGGAAGGGGCUACUGGAAUUCUCGGUGUAGCGGUAAAAUGCGUAGAUAUCGAGAGGAACACCUGCGGCGAAGGCGGGUUGCUGGGCUGACACUGACGCUGAGGAGCGAAAGCAUGGGGAGCGAACAGG